UGGUACUCUAACCACUGCUCCACUCUGACUCUCUGUGUUCCAUUACUUUUGCAUCAGCUAUAGAUCUUGCUACCCCCCCCCCAUAUAGAAUAAGAGAGGCAGCAUGGAGUAGUGGCUAGAGUGCUGAA